GACGAACGCUGGCGGCGUGCUUAACCCAUGCAAGUCGAACGGAAAGGCCCUGCUUUUGUGGGGUGCUCGAGUGGCGAACGGGUGAGUAACACGUGAGUAACCUGCCCUUGACUUUGGGAUAACCUCAGGAAACUGGGGCUAAUACCGGAUAGGAGCUCCUGCUGCAUGGUGGGGGUUGGAAAGUUUCGGCGGUUGGGGAUGGACUCGCGGCUUAUCAGCUUGUUGGUGGGGUAGUGGCUUACCAAGGCUUUGACGGGUAGCCGGCCUGAGAGGGUGACCGGCCACAUUGGGACUGAGAUACGGCCCAGACUCCUACGGGAGGCAGCAGUGGGGAAUAUUGCACAAUGGGCGGAAGCCUGAUGCAGCAACGCCGCGUGCGGGAUGACGGCCUUCGGGUUGUAAACCGCUUUCGCCUGUGACGAAGCGUGAGUGACGGUAAUGGGUAAAGAAGCACCGGCUAACUACGUG
rnacentral:rRNA from 1 species